rnacentral:rRNA from 1 species
AAAUUGAAGAGUUUGAUCAUGGCUCAGAUUGAACGCUGGCGGCAGGCCUAACACAUGCAAGUCGAGCGGAAACGAGUUAUCAGAACCUUCGGGGAACGAUAAUGGCGUCGAGCGGCGGACGGGUGAGUAAUGCCUAGGAAAUUGCCCUGAUGUGGGGGAUAACCAUUGGAAACGAUGGCUAAUACCGCAUGAUGCCUACGGGCCAAAGAGGGGGACCUUCGGGCCUCUCGCGUCAGGAUAUGCCUAGGUGGGAUUAGCUAGUUGGUGAGGUAAGGGCUCACCAAGGCGACGAUCCCUAGCUGGUCUGAGAGGAUGAUCAGCCACACUGGAACUGAGACACGGUCCAGACUC